rnacentral:lncRNA from 1 species
ACGCGAAGAGGCCAAAUCAUAUCUCAAGUUAACAAAUAAAUAAAAUCAAUUUCCAUCUCUUAUUUGUUGGAAAAGCCGACGUGCUGCGAAAGUGAAUUUCAUCUCUUCUAGUAACCGAUUUGAACUUGAGCAAGUAAGUGACAUGAUGCUGAAGGUGAUAGUGUAGAGGGAAAUUUUAGGGAAAAAGUUGUCCUUCUUUUAUUUGUUAAUUUCACUUUUUCCCAUUAUUCUUCCAUUUCUAUUUCAUAGCUGUUAUUUAUUUGUUGUUUCCAUUUCCAUUUCUGUUAUUUUCAUUUUUUUUCUUUUAUUCGUUAACUUAGAUAUGAAUUUACGAAAAUGAGAUUAAUAUUAAUUGAGUUAUUAAUAUGAAUUCAUUUGUCCAAUUUCUUUCCUUUUUCUGUCAAAUGGAGAUGAAUAUGAAUUUACGAAAUUUCGUAUUCUUCAGAAUCUAUGUUCAUAAAGCCUGAUCACCAAAGGGCAAUCCAAGUCGAAGAUCUGUCUUCUAUGUUGAAGACUACUGCUAAAAUAAUUGAAGAACACGACGUUUACAUUUCUCUCCUAAAUAUUGGUAUCCACAAGAGAAAAGGAGACAUGGAGAAGAAAGGGAAACAUAAGGAAGGAGCUCCAUAAAAUGUUUUCACCUACGUUAUUCAUAAAACAAUGUUGACUGUGAUUGUUCUUUGGUGUACGAAUUUCAUUGUAAUCAUGAUAUGUUAUUCGAUCAUUACUGCAUAUGUAUUCAUUAACAAGUUAGAACAAUAUGAAUUGCCA